rnacentral:rRNA from 1 species
UACGGAGGGUGCAAGCGUUAUCCGGAUUCACUGGGUUUAAAGGGUGCGUAGGUGGGCAGUUAAGUCAGUGGUGAAAUCUCCGGGCUCAACCCGGAAACUGCCAUUGAUACUAUCUGUCUUGAAUAUCGUGGAGGUAAGCGGAAUAUGUCAUGUAGCGGUGAAAUGCUUAGAUAUGACAUAGAACACCCAUUGCGAAGGCAGCUUACUACACGAUCAUUGACGCUGAGGCACGAAAAGCGUGGGGGAGCAAAACAGG